rnacentral:tRNA from 1 species
GGGUCGUUAGCUCAGUUGGUAGAGCAGGGGACUUUUAAUCCCAAGGUCGUGGGUUCGACUCCCACACGACCCACCA